UCCCUGGAGGUCCAGUGGUUAGGACACGGCACUUUCACUGCCAUGGCCCGGGUUCGACCCCUGGUCAGGGAA